CCCCCCCCCCCCCAAAAAAAAAAAAAUGCAGAAUUAUGGUAUUUAUUAAGUUCAAGAUAUAAAACACCUCAACUGGCACCAAGGAUCAAAUUCUGGGAUACCCAGCAACACUGAUGCGAAGGGCUGGCCAUUGUUUUGAUCAGGGGCGGACUUAUGCUUUUCUUCGCCCGAAGCAGAAAUUAAAAAUUGUGAUAAGUGCCUCCACCAACAGCAAUUAAAAGAGCCAUGCAUAAUUAGGUAUAUUUCGAAGAUAGACUACAUAUUGUAGCCGUUACCAUACUGCGACUUCCGGAAAAUUUUUACAUAGUUUUUCGUUUCAUGGUCUAUAGACCCCAAAACCAUCGCCAACUGAAAACUUUAUAUGCAUGUGUAUCACAUUUUUAUGGACACGAUAACUCCCGUAAUUUUGCACAAAACACUUUAAAACUGAUACAUGAAAUUAACGUUCGAGUUCAUUAAUGGGCAAAACCUGACAAAAGGGGUAGAAAUGGGGACGGUUUUUUUAAAAACAUAAAAAUCACUCUUACUCCCAUAAUACAAAGAAUAUCGCUUCCGUUUGAACGUAUUAUCUUGUAGAAGUAAUAGCAAACUCAGUAAUUCAGGUCAAAUUUAGUCUAUUAUAGUGACAUGAAAAUGUAAGUUCUUAAAUAUAAAUGUUUUAAUAAUCUGCAGAGAAACAUUUUCGGAUGAUUGUAGCACACCCCAGAAAAUAAAACAUCAUUUAAUUUUUACUAAAGUAGCUUUUUAUUUUAACUGUAACACUGACUUUAAGGUGAACGAUUAAGCACUGACAUAAUGUAUUAAUAUUCUUACUUUAUUAAGAGGCACUUCAUUGUACAACCUCUCUACUUAACUGUGACUUACAUAACUUUUCAAUUUCACAGGAAAAGUGUGAGAUUAAAUAAAACAAAAAUAUUUAUUUGUAUUUUAACCAGCGUUAUAUUCUGAAACAUACACAUACAUUUAGAUCUAGCCAUAUUCUUCAAACGACUACAAAAAUAUUGGUGCAUAUCAUGUUGUUUGAUGCUGAAGCAAGUAAUUGACAGUAGUUCAACAGGAAUCAAUGUUCAAAAUUCUGGUCACUAUGCCUACAUUUCAAAUUCGUGAUUACUCUGUGCAGCAAAACAGUGGUCAUCAAGUUUAAAACACACUACUCAUUUUGUUCCUACUCUAAAGAGUGUGUUUUUUUCCUCCAUAAAUUUCAAAGGAAACCAUGAUUCACAAAAUAUUCUACAAAUACUAUGCUCCAUAAUAGAAAUAAACAAUGUCAGUCCUGAGUCAGGUGGUUCACCUGGCCCAUUUCACUUUGGAAAAGGUUGUGAUUAACUCUGAUGGAAGAUAAAAUUUAGCAAGACUUAUUUUGUAGGAAUAUGCACGACAAAAUACCAAUUAUAGCCUGAUUAUGCCUCAUGUCACAAGAAUUUUUUUUCCAAGUUGUCUAUAUUUAAUGCUGGUUUGCGCACGUUUUACUGAAGUAUGUCUUUCGUUCAAAAAACUUGAUGCGUGUCUCAUGUUUUUUUAAUAACAUUAACAUACGUGUAUUUAAGACUUAAUUUAAUGAAAUCAUCACAAUAAUUGAACUAAGAACCAUUUUUUAAAUACAAUUAAAUAAAAACCAAAAUGUAAAAUGUUCAGUUUUCAUUUCUCAAGCAAAUCAUAACUUAAAUUUCUGUGUGUAAAUAUGCUGGAGUUCAAAAAGACUGAUAUUCCCUGAGAUUUAUAGUAAGACAAUCAAUUUUAUUUUAAAAAAAAUUAUAAUGAAAACUCACUCAUAAAAACAAAUAUAGUAUAAUGGUUAUUCAGGACCUCCUCACACACAUCGUCCUGGCUACGGCCCCUGCGUUGAGGAGGGGGGGGGGGGGCGCCUAGUGACAGAGGUACAGUGUGUGGCAACCGCUCUACUGUUUGUCAAGAUCCAUUACCGUCACGGCGACACGUGGCAACGACCUUGGUGAAAUUUUAGGAGGGAAAAGGGGGGGGGGGGGGGGGUACCGGGGACUGGCGAAGGGCAGCGAUGGUGUUGUCAGAUGCCAGACCAUCAGCCUCCGCCAACAACACCUGGACCUGUUUGUAGCCCCGUGUUCCCAACCGUGUUUCCUGACAAGUGAAGACAAGACAAAGCACGUUUUGACAUUACAAGUCACGGAUGUUAGCAAAGGUAAAUCCGCCGUGGUCUACCGUAAGAACUGGAGGCUGUUUGGAAAUCCAAAAUCAAGAUGGACGAAUGGACAGAGAUUCAAACCCCGGGUCCUCCCAAACGCAAGUACAACUUUCAAAUGUUGUGCCCCCUCGCUAGGUGCCUUCGCAAGUGGAGAACCACACACACGAGCACUGAGCACUGUCUCGCAGUAUCCUGGUGAUCCCGCCUUUUAAAGGAACAAUUGUUUUCACUCUACUGAAAAAAAUUAAGAAAAUUAAACAAAAUAGACUUGCUCAGUGCUAAAGCCAGGAUUUCGUGAAGGCGGGGUCCAGUAUAACCAUUAUAUAUCUUUUUUAUGAUCAAAUUUUCUUUAUAGUUGCAUUAAAAUAAAUAUGUAUUGCCACACUAAAAUCUAAAGGAAAAGAAGACUUUUAGAACUCAAACAAUACACAUAGAAAUUUAAGUAAUGAAAUUGCGUGAUAACAAAAACUGAUAUAAUGGUUUUUAUUUAAUUGUCUUUCAUACAUGGUGCUUGAGUCAUUUAUUUGGUGAUUUCGCUAAAACAAGUCAAAAGUAUAUAUGCAAAGCAGCAUUGAAUAUCAACUACUUGGAAACACAAUUCCUGUUGCUUCUAUGUGCGAGGCAUAUCGGGCUAUAUAUGUUAUUGCAGCCCACUAAGGAUUAUGUGAUUUCUUCCAAAAUAAUCCCAAUAAACUUAUGUAGCUAAGUUGCUUUAAUUUUCUCAUUCUGUACUUGCUUCUGUUUCUUUUAAAUAGCAGGAGGGAGGGGGGGGGGGGGGAACCGCUGACUACGACUCUGCUGUCUUUACAAACCCUCUCGAAGACACCAAUGCUUAACCUUUUCAGAGUUAGUCGACAAAAGUACGUGCUGUUAUCGUUGAUAAGCACUUUGCAAAUACCUACUUACAGUGAUUCUUCUCAAAGAAAACCGUUUCCAAGCAUAGUGCGACGCAGUUCAAACAUAAACGGGCACUCUAAUAUCAUUAUCAUCACAAACAUUUGAUAAUAUUGUGGUCAAGAGGCAUAAAAAUACACAACUCGUCCAGUAACUACAGAUAUGGCCAUGGGCGUUUGUGAUAAAAAAUUGAUUUCCUAUCUAAGCAGGAAAAAAAGUGUCUUGGAAACAUGACGAUGUUAAAAGAAAAACUAAAGAUGUAGACUCUGCUGAUGCUGUGAGCAGCGUGCAAGGAACUAGUAAGUUUCUAGGUUUAACGCACUGCUAAGGACGUGCAUGCGUAUGAAAAUACGAGUAUGUACGUUGUUUCAGCUUUCAUGUUUUGUAUAUGAUCACUCAUGAUGAUAACUUUUUUUUUAAAGUGCCAUGGGAACAGAAUUACUUUUUUACUGAAGACCUCAAAAGUGCAGGCGAUGAUAAUUCCGGCCUAGGAGGAAAUGUCGUCACAGGUUUAGCAUUUCGGUAUUUACAUGCGACACAUUCUAUACUCCUGUUGUUUGGCUAGCCCUGAGAAUUUUAGUUCGGUUUUAAAAAGGGGAAAAUUUUUAGUUUUUCCCUAAAAUGAAUACUUUUCAAAUAUUUAUCACACUCUGCAUUAUUAUAAAGAAUUCUGUUUAAAAUUUUGUGUCCUAGUUUCUUAUUAUAAGUUUAUUUGCAACCGAAAACAUAUGAAUUUACUCAUUACUCAGAUCUUUUUAUCAGGACUGACACUGUUAUCAGAGAAUAAUUAAAUGCAAAAACAAAAAAAUUAACCUUAUAAAAUAAUCUUGGUGCACAUAUCAAAAAGUCAACAGAACUGUGUGAACCUUCCGGACAAAAAUGUUGAUAAGAAAAGUACAGCCUGUAAUCUGUAUACAAAACUGAUACCAAUUACAAUUUUAUUAGUUGACAUAGUUCUUAAAUGAAAAAAAAAAAUCAAAACUUGAACUAAGUAAGAGUUAAUUUAAUUUUCAAAGUAAUUAUAAAUUAUAAUAAUUAUUAUGAAUAAUCUCUAAGCAAAAAAAAACAAACUGUAAAAUGCUUCUCUAUUAUUUGUAUAAUAUACAAAGUAAAAUGUAUAGCACUUAUGUAAGAACAAUCCCAUUCACUAUAGAAUACAAAAAAAAGUUAUUCCUUUUACUGCCAAUCACAACAUGCAACAACUUGACAUAAACACAACUAACAUCUUAAGUCAUAGAAUGAUUCAGUUAGCAUCGGAAAAACCACAAAGUGUGAGGCAUACAUUUCAGUCACAUUAGAAGUUUUGGCAACAGUCACCGUAAAUAAAAAUAACACAGGCCAACAAGAAAAAAUUUUGUUUUGGUGCCCAGGAUUUUCGAACUGAUUUUAGCUAUAUUUGGGGUGCUGAAUCUAAAUAUGAAAUUAGUUUUUUUCCCCCUAUCAACUCUACUUUUUGAGAAAGUUAGAAAAAAUAAGUAAAACCGCCUGCUUGACUCAAGCCACUUCGUCACUGGGAUAGCCCAGGAUGGGAAUCCCAUCCUUCAUUUGAAUGCUUCAAACUAGAUUUGAGGUCAGUUUGUGAGUUUUAGCCAUCCAGGAUAGAUAGAAGAUGAUAAAAAAUGAGUUCCAGUAGAGAAGAAGUUGUGUAAAUCAUCCUGAUGUGUUUUGCUACAUAUGUGGAGAAUACACAUUAAAAGAUAACACCUUACCUUGUAAACAGAGCUUCUCAUGAUACUAUGGUGUUAAGCUCGGUGAUCAGGAUAAAUCCUGGGCACCAAAUAAUAUCCUUGUUUCUUAUGCCUCUGCAAUAGCAGAUAUAAAACACACCACUGGUUCAGGGCACUAAAUUCACGAAGUCAGCUCCAUAUACCCCGGCAUGAAAAAUAUUGUUGGUUUAAAAAAAAAGUCAAAACUCUCCCCUCUGUUACAUGAAGGUUACACUGGCUCAAGAAAACAUGUUCACAAGAUUACAUGAGAAUAGAAACUAACAAGGUAAACUUAACUCCAUAAAUAAUUUGUUAAAUUAUGUAUUCUACUUAUCAUAGUGCAAAAGUAUGUUUUUUGUAAAUAGUAUAUUACUGUCACCUGCCUCCUGUUUUUUUUGCAGCCACUGCACUGCUACAGAUCACGCGCUUGCAAUAUAUCUUCUCUAUAUGUUGUAAUUUAAGAACACAAAUUUACAGAGAAUUAGAUAAUAGCCUAAAAGGCAUGUCAUUUGUUACUACUUCCACAGCAUGUUCAGCUACAUGUUAACAGAACUUGAAUGGAAUAUACGUUCCGACCAAAUGCAACCAAACCCACAGAUACAGAUAUGCUCAGGUCAAAGAAUCAUCGUUCAACUACGAUGCGACCACGAUUCACAAGCCUAGAGGUAAUAUUCGCCGACUGCUCCCGACAGCUACGUCGUCACGUGUCACUGGCCUGCAGCAGCGGAGGCAGCAUGUCGAGGUUCGCUCAGGAAGAUAUCCCCGACCUGAGACCUCGCCACGUGCACCAACAAACCUACUAAAUACCAGUUUGGCGGAACUUGACUAUUUCGCAAAACAGGUUUUUAAUGACCUAAUAUUGUUACGAGCGCCCUGGGAAGUAAGGCCGUGAUGCGUGUGGGCCUGAGUGGGUCUUCCAGCGUUCAUUCUGGCCCGGUGACCCCGCAUGGCCACAGACGUCACCCGCGCAUACCUUCUGGCAAUAAGGGUGGCCUGGCUUCGCCACCGGCCCCCCCCCCCCCCCCCUGCCUUGCCAAUGCUCCUUCCUCCAACCCUUAGGGGCCUGGGAAUUCCACGGGCUUUCGGAGGCCACUGCGUGGAUUGACGUGACUCCGCCCCUGUUCUGGAUGCUUCGAGCAUCGGGUCGGCCCGGGAUGACGCGACACAUCACCGCGGGAGUUCCGAAAGCAAAAUGAAGUGAAGUACGAGUACAGCGAAGAGGGCGAGAUGGACAACCCCCCGCCCCUCCUCCCUCGCGAUCGGUACAGGACGCGGAGCGACCGGACCGUGGGUGUGUGACAGAGUGGCGCGUGACUGUGCGUGCGGACUGGUGAGAGGUAAGGGGCGUACCACCGUUGAGUCUUAUCUUCCGUGAGGAGUGCGAACUGCGGACUAGACAGAUACUUGGUGAUUUGUGAACAGGCAUUAAGUGUGGUGAUUUAAUUAGUGAUGUAAAUAUUAGUGGCAAAUAAAACUAUAUAAAAUUAAUUGGGCUUUCCUUACAAACUCAUUUUUCCCCUCAACAUUUUUUUUGUAACAAUAUUUAUGCAUGUUCAAAUUGUUGGCCAAGUUAACGUGUGUAUUAACACAUUCUUUAUAUUUUUCUUCAUGUUUUAGUUUUUUUUUUUUCAGUACUUAUGUAAGGUAUUUUGUUUCUAGAACAUUAGAUAAACUUUCUGAUAAAAAUUUUAUUGAGAGAACAUACGGCAGGUGUUCCUAAAAGUGUGGGAAAUCUGGAGUAUAAGGUUUCUCACUAGAUUAUUUCUACAGAUAAUUCUAAUUCACUAUGAAUUUUCGGAAAGUCCAUUACUAAGAAAUCGUGGGCAAUCUUUAUAUAUUGAAAACUGUGUAGCGAUUGGCUGAGAGAACAUUGUAAGUGUUAACAGUGGCACGAUUGGCUGUAAGAUAAGGUUGAUGUGAGCAUUCCAAUUCUCAAGGAGAAGGAAAGCAGACAUAAGCUGUUAACAGGAAGAAUGUGUCGCACGGUAGCUCACCGAAUUUGUCAUGCUGAUGCAGCGAAGGACAAUUUAACGCCUGUUGAAUCGGGUAAGGCCACAGUCAACAUCUUCCCAUCAAUAAGUAAAGACAAGAUUUUAUGGUCUUAUUAUCAGGCCAAUUUCGUUUUUAAAAUUGGAGACUUUCGGUGUUCUCGUUUUUUAUUUUUUAUGAAAUAUGUUUAUUAAAUUACAUACCAAAUUACUGAACAAAUUUGAUACUUAAAUGUUCCACGAUACCAAUUUCUUCAAAACAGUGGCCUUUUUACCGACACAUGACACACUUUUUCAAUAUAACAAUUUGUAAUAAACAAGUCUAAUUUUUGGGAACAAAUAAACUAAAUCUGCUAACUAUUUCUGCAUUUGAAAUAUGUUCUAAGAUUGUAAUGUAAAAACAAGUAUGUAAUUAAUAACAUAUGCAAGUUUAAAAAUAAAAACAUUUUCCAAUUUUUUUAAAUUAAAUGAUUAUACAAAUGUCAUGCUAAAUAAAUUAUUUCAUUCCAUUUAUUAUUUUAAAGAUUAGGUAUUUGUCGUCAAGAGUUAAGUUUUGACCAAAAAUGCUGAUUUCUUUCGUUGUUUUAGUUGCAUUUUGGUGCUUUGUGGUGUAUGAACUGGAAUUUUGGUGUUAUAUGGUGUAUCGAAAUGCUUUUCGAUGUUUUUUUUCCCUCCAUUGUAUCAUGAUUCACCACAUAUUCAUGUACCUAUCAGACUAGAGGCAUCUGUCUUUGGCUCAGCGGGACUUUGGAGUUUCCCGUGCAGCAAUCACCCCUCCAGGAACCCAACGCCCCGGUCGUGAUGAAACUAGGGACUCCAUUACUUAACUUAAUUUUUCUUCAGUCUUCAUAAUUACUUAUACUGUUUUUGGUGUUGACGGACGGAAAAUGUUUUGAAACUCAUUUUCACAAUGUUUUUGUGGAGGAAUUUCCAGCACUUUGUAUGGAUGUGGGAUUGUUUUAAUAGUAGUAGUAGUAAUAGUAGUAGUAGUAGUAAUUUUAUAGACACACUUCAUAACUUGUUUUCUUCAGUCAACAACUCAUCCUAAAUUUGUGUGCAAAAAAAUAAAACUGAAUUUGAAAAUUCUUAUCUCCUGUUACAAUGACAGUAUUAAAGGGAAAUUGUAAUUUAAUUACAUUGGGUUGUCUUCUAGCUGAGCAGAUCUGACUUUUUACGUGGCUUUAUAUAAACUCUACCUCAAUAUUAGUACAGAACCAUCAACCUGAAAUAUUUCGAGUGAAUUUCUGAACAACCCCUGCAUAUACUAUGCACACAAUCAAGGAAUAGUAAUUGCAGUUGAAAUCUUUAGCUGAUACCAUUGUGCUCCAGUGCCUGGUUAAAAUUUACAGGUUGAACAACUGAUACAACAGAUUAACAGAGAACUGUCAACAUGCUCAAUCUUUUAGGAACUGACUCUUAUCAGCUACAGAUAGUAUCUGUUGCCAAUAUCUGAUAAAGCUGGUACUUUUAGUGGCUGUUACUUACUACGCUCUAGUCUCGCAAAAUAUCUGGCAAUGAACAAGAUUUAAAUGAGUCACAGAAAACUGUAGCUCUGAUCAUAAUGACUAACCUUCGAUAAGUUUAACAAAAAAACAUGUAUAAUAUUUCUGCUCAUGGUAUGACAAAAGCGAGUGAUAAUAAACAUAAAAUUAUUUGCAUCAAUGCCAGUUGACACACAAAAAAUUACAAAACAAAACUAUUAUGGAAACAAUUAGAAAAAAAAACAUGCACUCACGUAACAAAAUAUUACAGAUGAUUUUGAUUUGUAUUGAAUUUGAAUGAAAAAAAAGUACUAUUUACUAGCGCUUAAACCUUUUCCUGGAUACCAUAAAAAAACAAAUAACAAAACAUGCACGUAGAUUUGAGCAGAUGCUUGAAUUUAGUGACGUUAUUACACAACUGACAAAAAGCAAAACCUGUGCACCUUGAAUAAUGCACGUAGUGUCUUCAUCACAAAGAUAAAAUAAAAGGAGAUGAGAUUCUUAAGGUUAAAGUGUAAUCAGAACAAAUUGAGUAUCAACUCUGGGCUCAUAAAAUGAGUCUUGAUGGAGAUUAGUAUAGUCACUCAGAGAUUCACCACACCUUGUGAAGACAGAAGUACUUUCAAGACAAAAUGAUUAAAGAAGUGGUCAUAAUUUUAUAAAUUGCAUCCAGUUGUCAAAAGCAAAAAAUACGUGAUGACAUAAUAUGAAGGAAAUUAUGUCUAGGAGAAUGGUCGUUUUGAUAUACGUGAAAAUGUAUGCCAGACACAUGUUUACAUGUACACAAAUUCGCAGGUCUUAUACUAUUCAAAAAGUGUUCAGCCAUAAUUCGUUGUUCAUAAAUUAUUUCUUUUAACUGUCUGCUUGCUAUAAAACUGUAAGCUAGCCACAGCCGCCGAUAUACUGAAGUACAUUGUUAGUUACCCAUAAACUACAACUGCAACAUUUAGCUUCACACUACUCUGGGAAUGCUGUGCAAACAGAUUACGUAGAUAUCCAAGUACACAAACACGAAUUGCUAAAUACGUAACAGUAGAUAAUCAUUAUUCAUGAACAGUAUUUGCGGGAACACACAGACAACUCUCUGUGCCGGAGAACAACAGCUGACCUAGUGUCCUGAUACGAGCAACUAAUUUCUGAGAACCUCUGACAACAUUAAAAGAAAACUCAUCUUUCCAACCAAUGCCAAACAAAUAAAACUAAAAAUUUCAUCCUCUCCAUAAAAACAGUUGCAUAAUAUUUUCUCAAUUUUUUUACACUGCAUAUUAGUCAAAUGGAAUACACAAAAAAAAAAAAACUUUGCAUUUUCAUAUUCUAUGACAUAUGUGUACCCUUCCUCGGUUUAGCAAGGCAACCAAUCAGCAAUCAGCCGGUUUUCACUAACAAAGAAAAAAGUUUUUUUUUUCUUUGAAAGCUACUCAAGCUAAAUAAAGUCCCACAUAUUGUGACUUUGGCAAUGAUGUACAGGAUCUUGGGUACAAAAGUACCUAUUUUAAACUAGUUCAUGUGCAGUAACCAUUUUGGAAAGAUGAGAACACUAACAAGACCCAGGAAGACUAUGUAUACUGUUUCCAUUUGUAUUCCCUUACAUUUAUUCUUUGGUCCAUUUACAAAACAAGUCUUACUCUUACACAGUAGCAAAAAAAAACUAAAACUAAAAAGAAAUCUAAAAUAUUUAUACAAGAGGUAACUACAAAACCUGAAUAAAUAAUCUUACUUAUAGUGUUACACACUGACAUACUAAAUCAUUUUAGAACAUAUGCUUUGAUAGUAUCUGCUAUCAUACAGAUAAAUAUUAACUGAUCAUGGUAGCAAACAUGCCUUUACAUUCACAUAUCUACAUUUAGAUGUCUCAGUGUGCUAACACAACAGCCAUUGCAAACAGCACCUAUAUUGUACUACAUGUAUUUUCCAUUAAUUUUUUUUAUAAAGCAUUACGUGCUCAGCUACCAAGUAUAAAUAACUAGUACUACAAUCAAGAAACACAAAAACUGAACAUUCACAGCCGCUAACAUUUCAUUGCAGAGCAGAUCCGAGGAGAUAUUGGAUCAAUACUGCCUUAGGAUUCAAUGCGUUUGGCCUGUACACUGUCUCUACACUACAUGGCCAAAUUUAUAAUCCAUUUACUUACUCUCACAUGUUCAAAACAGCCAACACACUUUCUUGUAAUGUUUUAACAGCUACCGUGUUGGCCACAUCUGGUCAAAGUUGUUCAAGUGAAUUCAUUUAGUUGACAAUGUAAACCUACACCUGCAAAGGCUGGAGUUUGAAUUUUUUUUUUUUGUUAAUGUGAUGAACAUUCAAUGCAAAAAGGUUAUGCCUAUUUUUUUUUACUCACUGCUGUGUAUACAAAAACUGUAUCUUAAAUCUGAGUCUUACAACACUCAAACAAUACAAUUAACCCUUCACAAUCUGAAUUUAUAUUUUAAUGCACAACUUCUAGCCCGGGCCAUGCAAAAAUCCCAUCUAGACAUCAAUGUUUGGGGGACAAGUUUUCAGAAAAGCAUAAUUUAUAAGAAUGUCAUCAGUACAUUUUACACAUCAAAUAUUAUAAACUGUAAUUCCCAUAUAACAUCAGUGCCUUAAAAUAAAAAUAAAAUUUUUUUUGAAUUGGUAUUGAAUUACAUUAUAGAAAGUGGGCAGAAAAGAAAAAAGAAAAUUCAGAAUAGUAAAUAAAAUUAAUAUUUCACGUUCGUUAAACAGGCUGUCUCGAAUCUUAAAUAUAGUUUUAAUUUAGAUAGUUUAUAUAAUUUCAAUGGAUUGUUUCAAUCAUCAAACAUUGUAUAAUAUUUGAAAAAUUUUAAGAAAAAUGUUUGAGAAAGCAUUUAUAGUAGAAAUCAAACCAACAGAUAAAAGAAGAAGAAAAUUUAUGAAAUUCUAUUCUUUUAUAACACAGUAAAAGUUGCACAUGCAAUUAAAAAAACCUGCAACAUAAAUUAUUUAAAUUGAUCAAAAUCAAUUCUGAAAAUAUUUCCAUUAAGAUGUUUUCAAAAACUGUGAGUAAUACAUAUCUAGCAAAGAUUAAUUACACUGUUGGCCAAAAAAAAAUUAAUCAAAAGGUAAAAAAAAAUUCUGAUAGUUGGCAAACCAUAUAUUAAAAUAGGUUAAUCAAGAAAAACCAUAAAUUUUGGCAGCUAUAACCAAAAGAUUAUAAAACAGACUCAACCAAGGCACAAUGGACACGCUCAUUUGUCUUCAUAAUGAAAAUAAAUUGGAAUGAAAUAGAAUAUAAACAUUGGUUCACCCAAGCCAUAAUACUGCCUCCUUGUUUAAUUUUUACAAGCAUAUUUCCCAUAAGUGAUCUUUCAGUACACAAACUUGAAAAGACAAUUGCAAAAUAACAUGUAAAUGCAUUGAAAUAUCAAAACAAAUGUUGGGCAAGUUCACUAUAUUCAUUGCAAGAUAAUGAACUCACUGAAACAUGGCUUUCAGAUCCAUCAAUGAUUCAGUUAGUUUACAUUUAUAUCCAGCAACGGAGACUACACAGCAUGGCUACUAUCACUAGGGACAAGAUUUUAUGGUGAAUUGUGAUAAAACUAACAAAAGUACCAACGGAAAGCAUGUCAAUGUGUAUUUAGUACAUAUGUAUUUUGCACUAAAACAAAUCAAUCAAAUAGCUAAGGAAAAAAUUAACUUAAUUUUUUUACAUCUUGCACUUAUUGUUAACUUAUAUAUUACUGACUGGUACAUUUUCCAAAAUUGCCUAAAUAUUUUUAAGGAUUCGAGAGAAUCUGCCUGGAAAUGCUUUUUUACAAAUUAUUUUACUGUAAUAAAAAGAAACAUUUUCACAGUGAAAAUUAUACUAUUUUAAUUAAAUAAUUAUUAAGAAACAUUUAAAUGUCUUACUUGUUGAAUAAUACAGUAUCUUUAUGAAUAAAAAUAAUUCAUAAAAUUAAAAACCAACAACAUCCAAAUCUCCCAUUUCAAAAACAAAAAAAAAUUAUCUUAAAAUAAUACCAUAAAAUCUUGUCUCUACAUGUUGCAAGACAUUGUGUCUUUUCAUAAUUUAACAACAAUAAUUAUCAUCUUAUACACAGUCACCUACAAACUUCUACUUGUUAUUGUACAAAUCUCAUAAAAGUGCAUGGUCUGGAGUUUCCUUAAGUUGCUACAAAGUUAUAAACAUAACCACAAUUUACACAUUUGUUCGGGUAACCAGGUCAAAGAGCAUGACAAGCUAAUUAACAACUUCCCCAACAUAUUAACUUUAAAACUUUAAUUGUUUCUUUAUAUUAUUGCUACCCCACUUAACACAACAUGAAGGGCUAAUAGCUUUAACAGUCUACUGCUAUUACAAAUAAUUAAAAUAAUAUACAUAAUAAAUUAUUCAAAGCACCAAAUUUAACCUUGGAAACAGGCAUUACUUGUCUAGUAUCGUGGACACAGAUGCUAGUUUUUCACAGACUGUACGUACUUCUCGACAGAAAACAAAUUUAUGUACAAUAUCAAUGUUAAAAUGCUCCUCCCUGGAGAUUUUUUUCCCCUCCAACUGUGCAAGUGAAGUUGGGUGAAUAACGUUAUUAAUGCAUAGCAAACCUAAUCGCUCUAGGAGGUACCCUCACAGAGAAACAAAAGCCUCUCAAGUCAAGGUCUGUUAUCAAUGCACAAGAAACCUGGCACUGUUAAAAUUUUCACUUCUGUUCCCUCCCCCGCUCUCCACCCCUAAGCAUCGAUAUAAUAACACGAAGCAUCUCGCAACUUAUCUUUGUUGCAGUCCCAAAAA